rnacentral:rRNA from 1 species
UACGGGGGGGGCAAGCGUUGUUCGGAAUUACUGGGCGUAAAGGGCUCGUAGGCGGCCAACUAAGUCAGACGUGAAAUCCCUCGGCUUAACCGGGGAACUGCGUCUGAUACUGGAUGGCUUGAGAUUGGGAGAGGGAUGCGGAAUUCCAGGUGUAACGGUGAAAUGCGUAGAUAUCUGGAGGAACACCGGUGGCGAAGGCGGCAUCCUGGACCAACACUGACGCUGAGGAGCGAAAGCCAGGGGAGCAAACGGG